rnacentral:lncRNA from 1 species
GUAAGUGAAUUUAUUCAGCACCUACACGUUGGUUCAUACCACUUUAUUAUUCUUUCUUGUCUGUCGUAUGUAACCUCAACCUUCUUCUCCCUUCUAUCCUCCCCACUCUACCCUCCUCUACACCCCUCUUUCUCUUUUCUCUCUCUCUCUCUCUCUCUUCCUCUCCCUCUCUCUUCCUCUCCAUAUCUCUGUCAGUCCUGUGUUGAUCCGGUUUCAGCAGGUCGUCUCAUCUCUGGGCAUCUCCAUCUUCGGCAGCUUCCGGCAAUCUGUGUUGUUUGGCAUCCAUGUGUUCGGGGCUUUUCUGGCCUUCUUUGUGAGCCUACUUCUGGUUGCAGGUGUGGCUCACCUAUAAAGUCCAGACCUCUAAAGACCGUUGCUGAGUGGGGCCUCUCAGAGCUGCCCUCUGUAGCAUCUGCACCAUCUUGGUCAUCACCAUGAACAUAGGUCUACUCUUUGAAAUGGGCUACUGCUCAAUUGCGUCCAUUUCUGAGUGGGUUCUCGGGGAUGUGCUUCUUUGUUCCUAGUUGGCCUCUUUGCAUCUGAGUUCCGUCAUAUCGACUGUCACCAGCUCACCGUGCAGAACCAAGGCCUCAGCAAGAUACAGAGCAUGGGAUCAUAAUGGGACCCUAAUGUACAAUAGUACAGCAAACAGAACAGUAAUGUAAUAAUGAUAUAAUAAUUGAACAUUCAGCUCUGACUGAUGAAGCUCUACAUAAGUGUACAUAUUUUAAACCUAUUGUUGAAUAAACUGCUACUCUUUUUAUUUAAUAAAAUACUACUCAUUUUGAUGCGGCAUCGCCUCAGCUAAACCUCUGUUUGGUUUCUGUUGAGUUUACGGGAAAUAUAGAUGAGAUUUUUCUGAUCUUUGUUCAUCUUUUGACUACAGCAGUGGUGGUUGCUAUGUUUCCUCUCUCUGUAGGUUGUCUCAUGGUAUUGCUUUCACUGUUACAGGAAUCUGUAGGGUGAGAGAGACGCUCUC